GCCGGGGUGCUGGAACUGGCUUACAGGAUCGCCUCAAAAGCGAUUGCGCGAAAGCGCGUGCGGGUUCGAAUCCCGCCCCCGGCA
rnacentral:tRNA from 1 species